GCUAAAUUCCUCCCUCUCAGAGACAAAUUCAGGGUCAUCAGCAAACAACAGCUGUCUUCUACACUGCCAGCUUCUACGAGGGAAUAAUAGAGUAGUAGUGUAGCUGAGUCUUAGAUAUAAGUUUGUUAUAAGUUUGUUAUGCUGUUGUGCUGACGUGGCAUAAUCUGUUAUGCCACUGCUCAUCUAUAUAAGAGCUUCUGUAAUCUUCUAUUUUAAAUCAAUGAAUAUAAUAUUCU
rnacentral:lncRNA from 1 species